rnacentral:rRNA from 1 species
UACAGAGGGUGCAAGCGUUAAUCGGAAUUACUGGGCGUAAAGCGUGCGUAGUCGGUUAUCUAAGUCGGAUGUGAAAUCCCCGGGCUCAACCUCGGGAAUUGCAUUCGAUACUGGAUAGCUAGAGUUCGGCAGAGGGAAGUGGAAUUUCGGGUGUAGCGGUGAAAUGCGUAGAUAUCCGAAGGAACAUCAGUGGCGAAAGCGACUUCCUGGACCAGAACUGACGAUCAGGCACGAAAGCGUGGGGAGCAAACAGG